GUAAAAUUUAUAUAAAGCAUUAUGAAUUAGUUAAUAAACAAAAAGAAAAUUUUGAUCACACAUUAUUUAUUUAUUCAAAUAACAACAAUAUGUUAUAUAUGAAUGAUACUGUAAAAAAUAUAUUACAUAUGUUACAAGACAAAUAUAAAAAAAAGCUAGUUCGUGAAAAGUAUAAUUUAUUAAACAAAAGUCAUUUGAAGGGAAGAUAUUGUGCUAUUAAAAAUGUUAAAAAUAUGCUACGAUAUUAUCAACAGGACUCUAAUUUGCCUUAUAUUGGUCACGAUAUAUAUGAUUAUGAUGUACUACUAGGACAACAUACGCCUACUAUUACUAAUAAUAAUAAUAUUCGUAGUAGUAGGGCUGUUUAUGCUAAUAAUUAUUUUAGUCGUGUUUUUAGAUAUACUAAUUAUAAUAUUAAUACACCAGGGAGAGUGGAUUCGCAUACUCUUGAUCCACGCUUAUAUAAUUACAUUAAUAAUGGAUAUCCUAGUGAUACUUAUCGUGAUAAUUCUUUUGCUAACAUUAUAAAUGAUAUUAAUGCUAACCUUGGUUUUAAUAUUCCUUACCCUGGUCGUAAUAAUAAUAAUGAUAAUAAUAAUAACAACAGAAAUGUUAACAGAAAUAAUAACAAUACCAAUAACAAUACCAAUACCAAUAACAAUACCAAUAACAAUACCAAUAACAAUACCAAUAACAAUAACAAUAACAAUAACAAUAAUAGAAGAUAUAAUGGUUUCUUAGAUUAUUAUCCCUACACUUUAGCAUAUGAUGUUAAUGACGAACCUGUAGCAAAUAUCAGUGAACAUUCUUCUGAAUAUACAAGCGAUAUUUCAGCUACAUAUUCAAUCGACGAAGAAGAUAGAGAUGAAGAGGAAGAUGAGGAAUAUGAUGAUUCUGAUGACGAUUAUUAUGUUGAUGAUGAUUUUGAUAAUUUUUAUAAUAACAACAAUGGUAUUAAUACUAGAAGUAGAUAUAAUUCUAGUAAUAGUAUUAGACAGUCUAGAAAUUAUACCAGUGUAACAGGAAGAAGAACAACAAGUAGGAGAAGAAGAAAAGGAAGAAGAAGAAGAAGAAGAAGACGAAGAACAACAACAACAACAAAUACAACAGCGACAGGGGUAAGGGCAUCAAAUACAGCAACGGCAAGGACAAGGACAAGGACAAGGGGAAGGGGAAGGACAAGAACAGGAACAGUGACAAGAACAGGAACGGGAACAGUAACAAGAACAAGAACAAGAACAGGGACAGCAACAAGAACAGGAACAGCAACAGCAACAGCAACAGCAACAGCAACAGCAACAGCAACAAGAACAGGAACAACAACAAGAACAGAGACAGGAACAGGAAUAGGGACAAGGACAAGAGCAGGGACAAGGACAGCUAGAGCAAGUCGAAGAAGUAGCACAGAACAAAGGGAAUCUGAUUUAAAUGUAAGAAAAAGUGCUAGGUUAAGAGAAAAAGAAAAAAAUAAAAAUAAAAACGAAAACGAAAACGAAAACAGAAACGAAAACGAAAACAGAAACGAUAAUGACAUUAACGAUCUUACCAUUGAUAUUACCUCCGCUGGUAAUAAUGAAAUUAAUAAUGUUAGUAGUAGUAGAUAUACCAGGACAGCAUCAAAUAAUUCUAGGUGUUACUACAACACCAGAUCAUCGAAUUUGAAUAAGCAUUAGCAUUAUAAUUGGAAUUAACUUUUUUUUUGUUUUUAUAAAUACCAACGUUUUGUUACAUUUGUCAAGGGGCUGUAUAUAUAUAUAUAUACUCCCGCAUAUCCGACGUUUAUAACGAAUUAAAGAGGAAUUGUAUUGUAGCUUAAUCACAUACAACCGUCAAAUGUAAUGAAAAAAAUAAAAUAAAAUAAAACUAUUCUGCA
ensembl:lncRNA